rnacentral:rRNA from 1 species
UACGGUGGGGGCCAGCGUUGUUCGGAAUUACUGGGCGUAAAGGGCUCGUAGGCGGCCAACUAAGUCGGACGUGAAAUCCCCAGGCUCAACCUGGGAACUGCGUCCGAUACUGGAUGGCUUGAAUCCGGGAGAGGGAUGCAGAAUUCCAGGUGUAGCGGUGAAAUGCGUAGGUAUCUGGAGGAAUACCAGUGGCGAAGGCGGCAUCCUGGACCGGCAUUGACGCUGAGGAGCGAAAGCCAGGGGAGCAAACGGG